rnacentral:rRNA from 1 species
ACUCCUACGGGAGGCAGCAGUGGGAAGUAUUGCAUCAAUGGCAGGCAGCAUGCAUGCAGCCAUGCCGCGUGUGUGAAGAAGGCCUUCGGGUUGUAAAGCACUUUCAGUUGUGAGGAAGGUGGUGUCGUUAAUAGCGGCAUCAUUUGACGUUAGCAACAGAAGAAGCACCGGCUAACUCCGUGCCAGCAGCCGCGGUAAUACGGAGGGUGCGAGCGUUAAUCGGAAUUACUGGGCGUAAAGCGCAUGCAGGUGGUUUGUUAAGUCAGAUGUGAAAG